UACGUAUGGGGCGAGCGUUGUUCGGAAUUAUUGGGCGUAAAGGGCGUCUAGGCGGGAAAUUAAGUUGGGUGUGAAAGCCAUGGGCUCAACCCGUGAAUUGCAUCCAAAACUGAUUUUCUUGAGUUCGGGAGAGGAGAGCGGAAUUCCAGGUGUAGCGGUGAAAUGCGUAGAUAUCUGGAAGAACACCAGUGGCGAAGGCGGCUCUCUGGCCUAGAACUGACGCUGAAGCGCGAAAGUAUGGGGAGCGAACGGG
rnacentral:rRNA from 1 species